GACGCACACGGUUAAAGCUCGGAGCUGAGGCCUUUCUGGUCAAUGAGCUCCGGGUGUCGGAAGUGUGCUACAGCAACGGCAGAUUUUUCGCUAACGCCACAAGGAGCCGCGUGGCUCCGAUGAGUGGAGUUUGAUAGUAAUUCUUGCCACAUGU